rnacentral:rRNA from 1 species
AACGAACGCUGGCGGCAUGCCUAACACAUGCAAGUCGAACGAAGGCUUCGGCCUUAGUGGCGCACGGGUGCGUAACGCGUGGGAAUCUGCCCUUUGGUUCGGAAUAACAGCUGGAAACGGCUGCUAAUACCGGAUGAUGACGAAAGUCCAAAGAUUUAUCGCCAGAGGAUGAGCCUGCGUUGGAUUAGGUAGUUGGUGGGGUAAAGGCCUACCAAGCCGACGAUCCAUAGCUGGUUUGAGAGGAUGAUCAGCCACACUGGGACUGAGACACGGCCCAGACUCCUACGGGAGGCGGCAGUGGGGAAUAUUGGACAAUGGGCGCAAGCCUGAUCCAGCAAUGCCGCGUGAGUGAUGAAGGCCGUAGGGUUGUAAAGCUCUUUUACCCGGGAAGAUAAUGACUGUACCGGGAGAAUAAGCCCCGGCUAACUCCGUG